rnacentral:rRNA from 1 species
UACAGAGGUCUCAAGCGUUGUUCGGAUUCAUUGGGCGUAAAGGGUGCGUAGGUGGCGCUGUAAGUCGGGUGUGAAAUUUCGGAGCUUAACUCCGAAACUGCAUUCGAUACUGCGGUGCUUGAGGACUGGAGAGGAGACUGGAAUUCAUGGUGUAGCAGUGAAAUGCGUAGAGAUCAUGAGGAAGACCAGUGGCGAAGGCGGGUCUCUGGACAGUUCCUGACACUGAGGCACGAAGGCCAGGGGAGCGAACGGG